AUUGAACGCUGGCGGCAGGCCUAACGCAUGCAAGUCGAACGGUAGCACAGAGAGCUUGCUCUCGGGUGACGAGUGGCGGACGGGUGAGUAAUGUCUGGGAAACUGCCCGAUGGAGGGGGACAACUACUGGAAACGGUAGCUAAUACCGCAUAACGUCGCAAGACCAAAGAGGGGGACCUUCGGGCCUCUUGCCAUCGGAUGUGCCCAGAUGGGAUUAGCUUGUUGGUGGGGUAACGGCUCACCAAGGCGACGAUCCCUAGCUGGUCUGAGAGGAUGACCAGCCACACUGGAACUGAGACACGGUCCAGACUCCUACGGGAGGCAGCAGUGGGGAAUAUUGCACAAUGGGCGCAAGCCUGAUGCAGCCAUGCCGCGUGUAUGAAGAAGGCCUUCGGGUUGUAAAGUACUUUCAGCGAGGAGGAAGGCGUUGCGGUUAAUAACCGCAGCGAUUGACGUUACUCGCAGAAGAAGCACCGGCUAACUCCGUGCCAGCCGCCGCAGUAA
rnacentral:rRNA from 1 species